UACGUAGGGUGCAAGCGUUAAUCGGAAUUACUGGGCGUAAAGCGUGCGCAGGCGGCUUUGCAAGACAGAUGUGAAAUCCCCGGGCUCAACCUGGGAACUGCAUUUGUGACUGCAUGGCUGGAGUGCGGCAGAGGGGGAUGGAAUUCCGCGUGUAGCAGUGAAAUGCGUAGAUAUGCGGAGGAACACCGAUGGCGAAGGCAAUCCCCUGGGCCUGCACUGACGCUGAGGCACGAAAGCGUGGGGAGCAAACAGG
rnacentral:rRNA from 1 species